rnacentral:rRNA from 1 species
UCCGCAGGCGGGCAAUUAAGUCAGAGGUGAAAUCCCACAGCUCAACUGUGGAACUGCCUUUGAUACUGGUUGUCUUGAGUUAUAGUGAAGUAGAUAGAAUAUGUAGUGUAGCGGUGAAAUGCAUAGAUAUUACAUAGAAUACCGAUUGCGAAGGCAGUCUACUAACUAUAUACUGACGCUGAUGGACGAAAGCGUGGGGAGCGCACAGGAUUAGAUACCCUGGUAGUCC